rnacentral:rRNA from 1 species
UACGUAGGGGGCAAGCGUUGUCCGGAUUUAUUGGGCGUAAAGAGCUCGUAGGCGGUUUGGUAAGUCUGGUGUGAAAUCUCCCGGCUUAACUGGGAGGGUGCGGUGGAAACUGGGGUGCUUGAGUGUGGGAGAGGUAAGCGGAAUUCCUGGUGUAGCGGUGAAAUGCGUAGAUAUCAGGAGGAACACCGGUGGUGUAGACGGCUUACUGGACCACGACUGACACUGAGGCACGAAAGCGUGGGUAGCAAACAGG